GGGUUGUGAGGUUAAGCGACUAAGCGUACACGGUGGAUGCCCUGGCAGUCAGAGGCGAUGAAGGACGUGCUAAUCUGCGAUAAGCGUCGGUGAGGUGAUAUGAACCGUUAUAACCGGCGAUUUCCGAAUGGGGAAACCCAGUGUGUUUCGACACACUAUCAUUAACUGAAUCCAUAGGUUAAUGAGGCGAACCGGGGGAACUGAAACAUCUAAGUACCCCGAGGAAAAGAAAUCAACCGAGAUUCCCCCAGUAGCGGCGAGCGAACGGGGAGGAGCCCAGAGCCUGAAUCAGUGUGUGUGUUAGUGGAAGCGUCUGGAAAGGCGCGCGAUACAGGGUGACAGCCCCGUACACAAAAAUACACAUAUUGUGAGCUCGAUGAGUAGGGCGGGACACGUGGUAUCCUGUCUGAAUAUGGGGGGACCAUCCUCCAAGGCUAAAUACUCCUGACUGACCGAUAGUGAACCAGUACCGUGAGGGAAAGGCGAAAAGAACCCCGGCGAGGGGAGUGAAAAAGAACCUGAAACCGUGUACGUACAAGCAGUGGGAGCCUCUUUAUGGGGUGACUGCGUACCUUUUGUAUAAUGGGUCAGCGACUUAUAUUCUGUAGCAAGGUUAACCGAAUAGGGGAGCCGAAGGGAAACCGAGUCUUAACUGGGCGUUAAGUUGCAGGGUAUAGACCCGAAACCCGGUGAUCUAGCCAUGGGCAGGUUGAAGGUUGGGUAACACUAACUGGAGGACCGAACCGACUAAUGUUGAAAAAUUAGCGGAUGACUUGUGGCUGGGGGUGAAAGGCCAAUCAAACCGGGAGAUAGCUGGUUCUCCCCGAAAGCUAUUUAGGUAGCGCCUCGUGAAUUCAUCUCCGGGGGUAGAGCACUGUUUCGGCAAGGGGGUCAUCCCGACUUACCAACCCGAUGCAAACUGCGAAUACCGGAGAAUGUUAUCACGGGAGACACACGGCGGGUGCUAACGUCCGUCGUGAAGAGGGAAACAACCCAGACCGCCAGCUAAGGUCCCAAAGUCAUGGUUAAGUGGGAAACGAUGUGGGAAGGCCCAGACAGCCAGGAUGUUGGCUUAGAAGCAGCCAUCAUUUAAAGAAAGCGUAAUAGCUCACUGGUCGAGUCGGCCUGCGCGGAAGAUGUAACGGGGCUAAACCAUGCACCGAAGCUGCGGCAGCGACACUAUGUGUUGUUGGGUAGGGGAGCGUUCUGUAAGCCUGUGAAGGUGGCCUGUGAGGGUUGCUGGAGGUAUCAGAAGUGCGAAUGCUGACAUAAGUAACGAUAAAGCGGGUGAAAAGCCCGCUCGCCGGAAGACCAAGGGUUCCUGUCCAACGUUAAUCGGGGCAGGGUGAGUCGACCCCUAAGGCGAGGCCGAAAGGCGUAGUCGAUGGGAAACAGGUUAAUAUUCCUGUACUUGGUGUUACUGCGAAGGGGGGACGGAGAAGGCUAUGUUGGCCGGGCGACGGUUGUCCCGGUUUAAGCGUGUAGGCUGGUUUUCCAGGCAAAUCCGGAAAACCAAGGCUGAGGCGUGAUGACGAGGCACUACGGUGCUGAAGCGACAAAUGCCCUGCUUCCAGGAAAAGCCUCUAAGCAUCAGGUAACAUCAAAUCGUACCCCAAACCGACACAGGUGGUCAGGUAGAGAAUACCAAGGCGCUUGAGAGAACUCGGGUGAAGGAACUAGGCAAAAUGGUGCCGUAACUUCGGGAGAAGGCACGCUGAUAUGUAGGUGAAGCGACUUGCUCGUGGAGCUGAAAUCAGUCGAAGAUACCAGCUGGCUGCAACUGUUUAUUAAAAACACAGCACUGUGCAAACACGAAAGUGGACGUAUACGGUGUGACGCCUGCCCGGUGCCGGAAGGUUAAUUGAUGGGGUUAGCGGUAACGCGAAGCUCUUGAUCGAAGCCCCGGUAAACGGCGGCCGUAACUAUAACGGUCCUAAGGUAGCGAAAUUCCUUGUCGGGUAAGUUCCGACCUGCACGAAUGGCGUAAUGAUGGCCAGGCUGUCUCCACCCGAGACUCAGUGAAAUUGAACUCGCUGUGAAGAUGCAGUGUACCCGCGGCAAGACGGAAAGACCCCGUGAACCUUUACUAUAGCUUGACACUGAACAUUGAGCCUUGAUGUGUAGGAUAGGUGGGAGGCUUUGAAGUGUGGACGCCAGUCUGCAUGGAGCCGACCUUGAAAUACCACCCUUUAAUGUUUGAUGUUCUAACGUUGGCCCGUAAUCCGGGUUGCGGACAGUGUCUGGUGGGUAGUUUGACUGGGGCGGUCUCCUCCUAAAGAGUAACGGAGGAGCACGAAGGUUGGCUAAUCCUGGUCGGACAUCAGGAGGUUAGUGCAAUGGCAUAAGCCAGCUUGACUGCGAGCGUGACGGCGCGAGCAGGUGCGAAAGCAGGUCAUAGUGAUCCGGUGGUUCUGAAUGGAAGGGCCAUCGCUCAACGGAUAAAAGGUACUCCGGGGAUAACAGGCUGAUACCGCCCAAGAGUUCAUAUCGACGGCGGUGUUUGGCACCUCGAUGUCGGCUCAUCACAUCCUGGGGCUGAAGUAGGUCCCAAGGGUAUGGCUGUUCGCCAUUUAAAGUGGUACGCGAGCUGGGUUUAGAACGUCGUGAGACAGUUCGGUCCCUAUCUGCCGUGGGCGCUGGAGAACUGAGGGGGGCUGCUCCUAGUACGAGAGGACCGGAGUGGACGCAUCACUGGUGUUCGGGUUGUCAUGCCAAUGGCACUGCCCGGUAGCUAAAUGCGGAAGAGAUAAGUGCUGAAAGCAUCUAAGCACGAAACUUGCCCCGAGAUGAGUUCUCCCUGAGACUUAGAGUCUCCUGAAGGAACGUUGAAGACGACGACGUUGAUAG
rnacentral:rRNA from 1 species